AAGAACAAGAUAGAUAUUGUCAGAUUGACCACAAAAUUUGAAAGAAAAACAAAGAUCCCUUUCAUUGAUGCCAAUCACAAACCCAAGCAGAAGUAACACAAAACAACCUAUGAAAAAUAAAUCAAUAAAAAUAUAACAAACACCGGACGAUCCUUACCGAUCAGCAACACUCAAAAAUGUUGUGAGACAAAAUCGGAUCUCGUCCUAACAAGAGCAACAGCAACACAAAACAAACUACGCGAAAAUAGAACAGCGAUCGAUUAACAAGAAUUUAAAUACCGACCAAUCCGCA
rnacentral:misc_RNA from 1 species